rnacentral:misc_RNA from 1 species
CCGGCGGCGUUGUCACCGUAGUGCGGAGGGUGAGCGCGACCGUGUAACUCGCGUGUGUGAGGAUGGCAGAGCAGGAGCCAACGGCAGAGCAGCUGGCCCAAAUUGCAGCUGAGAAUGAGGAGGAUGAACACUCAGUCAACUAUAAGCCACCUGCCCAGAAGAGCAUCCAGGAGAUCCAGGAGCUGGACAAGGAUGAUGAGAGCCUGCGCAAGUACAAGGAGGCACUGCUUGGUGCUGUCACCGUGACUGCAGAUCCCAAUGCUCCAAAUGUAGUGGUGACCAAACUGACAUUGGUCUGUACUACUGCUCCUGGCCCUCUGGAGCUGGUCCUGACAGGUUGACCUGGAGAGCUAUUUGAAGCAGGCGUUCGUCCUUGAAGGGAAGGUGUUUGUAUUCCC